UUCUAGGGGGGGGCAGGGGGUGGCCAGGGCCACCCCUGGGACGCCAUUGUCCACCCUACUGGCCACCCUUGAUUCGACAAGUAAUUAAUAAAAAAAUAUAUUUUUAAAAAUAAAUAAAUAAAUAUACAAUAAUAACAACAGUAUAAGACCAAUAAUAGGUAAUUAUCAGGUAAUCAUUCAAGUUCGUCAACCCAACAACAAACAAGAGAAAACUGUCAAUCCAUGGUGAUCGCUUAUUUAUCGUGAAAGAUCUGGCAACCCCGCACCAGCGAUGCUGCUGACAGAGAUAUCUCUGAUGCUGAGCAGCACUGUCACCUGUAGUUCCUUCACGAGAGACCGCAUCCACUAACUGCCUGGACAGUCUAAUUUGGACAAUAAGUGAGUGACAUUAAGAUGAAGAGAAGAAACGAUAUUGAGAGCUUCUUUAUCAAGAAAAAAAAGAGUCAGUCAGCUACAGCCAGUACCAGCACCAGUGCAGAUGCCCACACAAGCCAGCAGCCUAGGGAUAGUGUUGAUGAGCAGUCCACUACCCCAAUACAAGAUGUUGACCAGCCACAUUUGGAGGAGGAGGAGACGGACUGUGAAUCUGUGUUGUCUGGAUCUCCACCUACUGAGCAUGGUAUGUCAGGU